AUGAGCCACACCGCGUUUUAUCUCAAGACAACGUAACAUGGUACAGAGUUUCGUCAGGCACUUAAAGGGAGUUCAUACGCUCCACAAGGAUCAAAAUCGACCAUUUUGGAGCUUGGAACGGCGCGAUGGGUAAGCCAAACGACCGAGAGAGUAGCAGUGAGAAGUGAGUGAAGCGAUUGACGUGAGUGAAAGGUCUCUCCGAGUUUGGAGCAAGUUGUUUUCUUUUCCUUUCCCAGGCAUUAUAAUGCGAGUGAAGAUGGAUGAGCUCCAUCUCCACGAACAAUCUCCAUCGGGGAGAUAACGCCGAGAUUGAAGGAGGACGUGAGGACACGCGUUUCGGACCAGGUCAAUGCAAAACAUUCAUGGAUCAUAACAACGCAAUCAAACGAUCUCCCAGAGCGAAAUUAAACGCAGAGGAGAAAGCAAGGCCCAAGCCGAGCGAGCGAGAAAGAGAAAGAGUUAAUUUAGCUCGGUUGCUACCUGUAAGUGUUUUGAUGGCCACCUUGAUUGCAUAUGAAAAACUAAGAGCCUUGUUACAA